rnacentral:lncRNA from 1 species
AAUGCUUGACGGGCAUAACAUGCUUGUUGGGGGUUGUAGUUCGCUGAUUGGAAUUGUUGCUCAUUGUACGUGGUGGUGCAUGAGUCGUAUCACGAUCGUUUGGGUAGGCAGGCUCCGUGCUCGCGCAUCGAAUUGCUCCCCGCGAUCCUUCAGUCCUAGCCCAAGUGAAUGUUUUGUAAGUGGGCAAAUGUCGGUUCCUGUGUUGCAUACCCACACUAGUGGAA